rnacentral:rRNA from 1 species
GUGCCUAAUACAUGCAAGUCGAGCGGACAGAUGGGAGCUUGCUCCCUGAUGUUAGCGGCGGACGGGUGAGUAACACGUGGGUAACCUGCCUGUAAGACUGGGAUAACUCCGGGAAACCGGGGCUAAUACCGGAUGGUUGUUUGAACCGCAUGGUUCAAACAUAAAAGGUGGCUUCGGCUACCACUUACAGAUGGACCCGCGGCGCAUUAGCUAGUUGGUGAGGUAACGGCUCACCAAGGCAACGAUGCGUAGCCGACCUGAGAGGGUGAUCGGCCACACUGGGACUGAGACACGGCCCAGACUCCUACGGGAGGCAGCAGUAGGGAAUCUUCCGCAAUGGACGAAAGUCUGACGGAGCAACGCCGCGUGAGUGAUGAAGGUUUUCGGAUCGUAAAGCUCUGUUGUUAGGGAAGAACAAGUACCGUUCGAAUAGGGCGGUACCUUGACGGUACCUAACCAGAAAGCCACGGCUAACUACGUGCCAGCAGCCGCGGUAAUACGUAGGUGGCAAGCGUUGUCCGGAAUUAUUGGGCGUAAAGGGCUCGCAGGCGGUUUCUUAAGUCUGAUGUGAAAGCCCCCGGCUCAACCGGGGAGGGUCAUUGGAAACUGGGGAACUUGAGUGCAGAAGAGGAGAGUGGAAUUCCACGUGUAGCGGUGAAAUGCGUAGAGAUGUGGAGGAACACCAGUGGCGAAGGCGACUCUCUGGUCUGUAACUGACGCUGAGGAGCGAAAGCGUGGGGAGCGAACAGGAUUAGAUACCCUGGUAGUCCACGCCGUAAACGAAGAGUGCUAAGUGUUAGGGGGUUCCGCCCCUUAGUGCUGCAG